AUGCCGGUGUUCCGCUCGUUUUCGCUUCUUGCAGCGGCGAUAAAACCGUUUGAAUCUGGGAACAGAACCUCUCCAAUAGCCUCUUCUCAUGCAAGGUUUUAUGGUGUUCUAUUUUGCUGCUCUGUAAUCUACAUAGAGUUCUACAAUCGGUUGUUCUACUGCUCAAUUCUGCUACUCGAUAAUUCAAAACUCUACAAUCAAUCAUUUUUAAGUUUAUUGAUGCAUAAGUAUAUAAUCUCAAUUCACGAUGAACAUCAAUUGAUUUUAAAUACUAAUUCCAUUUUGAAAACUAGCAUGAUGAAUGGUCAAAUAUAA